UUUAAACUUCUCAGGGGAGUGGGACAGAAAUGAUAAAGAGCCACUAAUGAUUUAUUAUGUAGUGGUUCUUACACAUUAGCCACAGCUAAUGUGUACUUAAAAAUAGGAAUACAUGAGUAAAACUCAUGCAUAAGAAAUACUAAUUUCUAUAGAAAAAGUAUUUCUUUAUCGUCGUCCCACCCCAACUCGCACAUUAUUGUAAGCUGACUUUUCGUCAGCUUCUGUGUUGGGGCCCAAAAAGCUUGUUACAAGCGCAUUUUCGUUCAGUCAACUACUGCCAAUAUAACUUUGUAGAGCAUAUUACAUUGAUUUAC
rnacentral:ncRNA from 1 species